GAAAUGAAGGAGCAUCCCAAUAGAAAAAAAAAAAAAAUAGUCGUCACUGAAUCGUAUGAACGCGAAUGAUUUUUGAUGAUUGUUUUUUUUUAAUUUGGUAUUGUGUUUCCCUACCUUCCCAUCCACAGAUGGCGUGAUGGCGUGUUCGUACUUUCAACUGGGAGGAGGAAAAAAAACAGAUAGCAACAACAAUAAUCAAGAAAAG
rnacentral:ribozyme from 1 species